GUGUCUCUGUCCUGAAUUAUUUAAUAAUUCUUUAGAUUGUGCAGAAAGUGAAGGAUCAUGGGAUGGCAGAGGACGUCAUGGUGAAAUGGAGAGCGCAAACAGAUGGGGUGGCGUUUCACAAGGAGGAAGGAGAAAAAUAAUACAACCAGAGAAAAAAAAAGAGCUGUGUUUCAAAUCACAAUAAAUCUGUAGUGUGUGAGAUAUUUUAGUGUUAGGAGUAUGUUCAGUCCAGGAAAUUUAUCGAGAUUUAUCGAGAUUACCAUUAAAGCUUCCAGUUCAUGGCAGGCCUGUGCCUUGGUGGUUCCUGGAUUGUUCCUGACCAUCUGAACCAGCUGAAGAUCUGCACUGAGCUCCUCGGACUUUCCCAUUGUACUGUGUGUUGGUCAAUCCAAUCAGUGUCAAACAAACCCUCUUAUGUUGCACAGAAAAGCUACUAGUCCUGUUAGUCAGUCAUCAUCACUAACAGGAAGUUAAGAGACCUUGGCCUUGGCAUAGUGAAGCCACAUUUUAGAAUUUUCAGCACCUCUGAUUUUAUCAUCUAAGUGGCUGUAUGUAUAAUUUUGACCCUGUGUUGAUUUCAUCUCAUCUCAUCUCAUUAUCUGUAGCCGCUUUAUCCUGUUCUACAGGGUCGCAGGCGAGCUGGAUCCUAUCCCAGCUGACUACAGGCGAAAGGCGGGGUACACCCUGGACAAGUCGCCAGGUCAUCACAGGGCUGACACAUAGACACAGACAACCAUUCACACUCACAUUCACACCUACGGUCAAUUUAGAGUCACCAGUUAACCUAACCUGCAUGUCUUUGGACUGUGGGGGAAACCGGAGCACCCGGAGGAAACCCACGUGGACACGGGGAGAACAUGCAAACUCCACACAGAAAGGCCCUCGCCGGCCACGGGGCUCGAACCCGGACCUUCUUGCUGUGAGGCGACAGCGCUAACCACUACACC